UACGUAGGCAGCGAGCGUUGUUCGGAGUUACUGGGCGUAAAGGGUGUGUAGGCGGUUUUCUAAGUUUGGUGUGAAAUCUCCCGCUCAACCGGGAGGGUGCGCCGAAAACUGGGAGACUAGAGUGCGGGAUGGGAGAGUAGAAUUCCUGGUGUAGCGGUGAAAUGCGUAGAUAUCAGGAGGAAUACCGGUGGUGUAGACGGCUCUCUGGACCGCCACUGACGCUGAGACACGAAAGCCGGUGGUAGCAAACAGGG
rnacentral:rRNA from 1 species